rnacentral:sRNA from 1 species
AUAUCUCUCUGUACGGGAAGGAUGAGAAGCUUCGACUAAGGUUCGAUUCGAGCGAAAGCGAGAAAGCGUUGCCGCAGGCAACGACCCGAAGGGCGAAACGCGCAGCGCUGAGUCAUCCUUCCCCCAC